rnacentral:hammerhead_ribozyme from 15 species
CAGGCGUCUAAAGUAGCUUCCAAUACAAUACCUUACUGAUGAGUCCAGUAGUGGAAGCCGGGACGAAACGCUAA